CACUUCGACUUCCUGGACCCGCCGCCCCACGAGACGCUGGUGCUGGCGCUGGAGCAGCUCUACGCGUUGGGCGCCCUCAACCACCUGGGCGAGCUCACCACGCUGGGCCGGCGCAUGGCGGAGCUGCCCGUGGAGCCCAUGUUGGCCAAGAUGAUCCUGGCGUCGGAGCAGUACGGCUGCACGGAGGAGGUGCUCUCGGUGGCGGCCAUGCUGUCGGUGAACAACGCCGUGUUCUACCGGCCCAAGGACAAGGUGGUCCACGCGGACAACGCGCGCAUGAACUUCCACGUACCGGGGGGCGACCACCUGGUGCUGCUCAACGUCUAC